rnacentral:rRNA from 1 species
AUGGCCACAUCCGCGCUUAAGAUGGCGGCCAUCUGCGCGGUACUGGUGGUCAUCCUCAUGUCUGCUGCGGGCAAGCCGGCGAUGGCCUACGUCGACGGGCAACCCCUAGCUUGCCCUAGUGCAGCGACGGCAUGCCGCACAGCAUGCAUACCUGCGUGCAACGCCUUUGCAGAGAAGAUGUGCAGCGUGCUCUGCGCCCUUGCUCCAGGGGCGGGCCAGACCUGCGUGAACCAGUUGUUCACCCCUUGCCAGGUUACCUGCAAGAACUUGUGCGAGCCCCUCCCGGGUCAGGCUCGCUGA